GGACUACUGGGGUAUCUAAUCCUGUUUGCUCCCCACGCUUUCGUGCCUGAACGUCGGUACUGGACCAGGAAGCCGCUUUCGCCACUGAUGUUCCUUCUGAUAUCUACGCAUUUCACCGCUACACCAGAAAUUCCGCUUCCCUCUUCCGUACCCUAGCCUCGCAGUUUCGAAUGCAAUUCCCAGGUUGAGCCCGGGGAUUUCACACCCGACUUACGAAACCGUCUACGCACGCUUUACGCCCAGUAAUUCCGAUUAACGCUCGCACCCUCUGUAUUACCGCGGCGGCUGGCAC
rnacentral:rRNA from 2 species